ACUUAAAUUGAAGAGUUUGAUCAUGGCUCAGAUUGAACGCUGGCGGCAGGCCUAACACAUGCAAGUCGAGCGGCAGCGGGAAAGUAGCUUGCUACUUUUGCCGGCGAGCGGCGGACGGGUGAGUAAUGCCUGGGGAUCUGCCCAA
rnacentral:rRNA from 1 species